rnacentral:rRNA from 1 species
AUGCGCCGGGUUCGAGUCUCGUCCCACCACUCUCCAGUCCAGAAGCUGGGCGAUUCGCACAUGAAGCUGACGCCCAAGUUCCGGCUCACCGCCGGCACCACCUCAUCACCGUCCUCCCAGCCGGAGCAAUCUCAACCUCCAUGGGAGACGCCCCUCAUCCCGGGCCUCCCGGACGACGCGGCGCUCAACUGCCUGCUCCGGCUGCCAGUGGAGGCCCACGGCGCCUGCAGGCUGGUGUGCCGCCGCUGGCGCCACCUCCUGGCCGACAAGGCGCGCUUCUUCACGCACCGCAGGGCCAUGGGCCUCCGCUCGCCCUGGCUCUUCACGCUCGCCUUCCACCGCUGCACGGGCAAGAUACAGUGGAAGGUGCUGGACCUCGACCGCCUGGCCUGGCACGCCAUCCCCGGCAUGCCCUGCCGGGACCGGGCCUGCCCCCGCGGCUUCGGCUGCAUCGCCGUCCCCGGCGACGGCGCCCUGCUCGUCUGCGGCGGGCUGGUCUCCGACAUGGACUGUCCGCUGCACCUCGUGCUCAGGUACGACGUUUACAAGAACCGCUGGACCGUCAUGGCCCGGAUGCUCUCGGCGCGCUCCUUCUUCGCCGGCGGCGUCAUCGACGGCCGCGUGUACGUCGCCGGGGGAUACAGCACGGACCAGUUCGAGCUGGACUCGGCGGAGGUUCUUGAUCCGGUGAACGGCGUCUGGCAGCCGGUCGCCAGCAUGGGCGCCAACAUGGCCUCCUCGGACUCCGCCGUCAUCGGCGGCAGGCUCUACGUCACCGAAGGCUGCGCGUGGCCCUUCUUCUCCUCGCCGAGAGGGCAGGUGUACGAUCCCAAGGCCGACCGCUGGGAGGCGAUGCCGGCCGGGAUGCGCGAGGGGUGGACGGGGCAGAGCGUGGUCAUCGACGGACGCCUGUUCGUCAUCUCAGAGUACGAGAGGAUGAAGGUGAAGGUCUACGAUCCGGAGACGGAUUCCUGGGAUCCUGUCGACGGGCCUCCCAUGCCUGAGCGGAUCAUGAAGCCUCUGUCCGUGAGCUGCCUGGAGAGCAAGAUCGUCGUCGUGGGCCGUGGCCUCCAUGUGGUGAUCGGCCAUGUCAAGAAGCAAUCGGCUGGCAACGGCGGCGGCGGUUCUUGUGACUACUUGGUUCGUUGGCAGGAUGUGGAGGUUCCCAGGGCGUUCAGCGAUCUCACGCCUUCGAGCAGUCAGAUUUUACAUGCUUAA